rnacentral:rRNA from 1 species
AUUGAACGCUGGCGGCAGGCUUAACACAUGCAAGUCGAGCGGGGUGAUGGUGCUUGCACUAUCACUUAGCGGCGGACGGGUGAGUAAUGCUUAGGAAUCUGCCUAUUAGUGGGGGACAACAUCUCGAAAGGGAUGCUAAUACCGCAUACGUCCUACGGGAGAAAGCAGGGGAUCACUUGUGACCUUGCGCUAAUAGAUGAGCCUAAGUCGGAUUAGCUAGUUGGUGGGGUAAAGGCCUACCAAGGCGACGAUCUGUAGCGGGUCUGAGAGGAUGAUCCGCCACACUGGGACUGAGACACAGCCCAGACUCCUACGGGAGGCAGCAGUGGGGAAUAUUGGACAAUGGGGGGAACCCUGAUCCAGCCAUGCCGCGUGUGAGAAGAAGGCCUUAUGGUUGUAAAGCACUUUAAGCGAGGAGGAGGCUCUUUUGGUUAAUACCCAAGAUGAGUGGACGUUACUCGCAGAAUAAGCACCGGCUAACUCUGUGCCAGCCGCCGCAGUAA